CAAUAGCGUAUAUUUAAGUUGCUGCAGUUAAAAAGCUCGUAGUUGGAUUUCGGGUGGGAAUGGCCGGUCCGCCGUUUCGGUGUGCACUUGCUACGCCCACCUUGCUGCCGGGGACGUGCUCUUGAGUUCACGCUCGGGACACGGAGUCGGCGAGGUUACUUUGAGUAAAUUAGAGUGUUCAAAGCAGGCCUACGCUCUGAAUACAUUAGCAUGGAAUAACACGAUAGGACUCUGGCCUAUCUUGUUGGUCUGUAGGACCGGAGUAAUGAUUAAGAGGGACAGUCGGGUGCAUUCGUAUUUCAUUGUCAGAGGUGAAAUUCUUGGAUUUAUGAAAGACGAACUACUGCGAAAGCAUUUGCCAAGGAUGUUUUCAUUAA
rnacentral:rRNA from 1 species